UACGAGGGGGGCUAGCGUUGCUCGGAAUCACUGGGCGUAAAGGGUGCGUAGGCGGGUCUUUAAGUCAGGGGUGAAAUCCUGGAGCUCAACUCCAGAACUGCCUUUGAUACUGAGGAUCUUGAGUUCGGGAGAGGUGAGUGGAGCUGCGAGUGUAGAGGUGAAAUUCGUAGAUAUUCGCAAGAACACCAGUGGCGAAGGCGGCUCACUGGCCCGAUACUGACGCUGAGGCACGAAAGCGUGGGGAGCAAACAGG
rnacentral:rRNA from 1 species